GAAUGGAAUAGGAGGGAGGGGAGCAGAAUGAGAAGCACCAUCCUUGACUAUCCCUUGAUCCUUCCAGACCCCGAAUUUAUGAACAAGCUGGCUCUGUCCUGUAAAUUUUACACAUGAAAUUUGGCCUCCCUGGAUCAUGCCAUCUAAUGCAGAGUACAAAGAUACAGUGGAAUCAGUCAGAAAAUAGUGUGUGAGUCCCAUCCAUACAUCAGCUUAUGGUCUGCAAACAACAGGUAUGCAAUUGUAUCCUGAGGCAGAGUCAAUUUCUACUCCAGGAGAACAAUCCUUUAAUUACCACCUGAGGAUGAGGUGGGGGAGUGCGGGGACUGGUCCCACCUUCACUACUCGGCAAGAGGACGUGACACAAUCCAAUGCUCUUCAUAACAUCCCUGCCUGCUCAGCUGAUGUCAUUGAAACUCAGUAACAUCCUGUCUCCCUUAAUGGGUUCCUUCAGAAUCAUGACAUCUGAGAGUUGACAACAGUCAUCUACUCCAAACAUUACAUGAAAAGACUCUCCACUGUAACAUACCUGCCGCCCUGUCAUCCAGCCUUACCUUGAGGAGCAGAUGAAACCAAUCACCAAAACCUUCUCCUCAUUUACUAAUGGCUGUCAAAAACGUGCACGUGUGUGUUUACUGCCAAUGGCUAUCUCUUCAAUGCCAUUAGAUUCUUGACAGCCACAAAAUGACAAAACCUGGAAUUGCUGAAGUCAAUAUUAUUUAUAAGUGAUGAUGACUAGGUGGGCU